rnacentral:rRNA from 1 species
CAUAAGAGGUCCUGCCUGCCCAGUGACUGUUUGUUCAACGGCCGCGGUACUUUGACCGUGCGAAGGUAGCGCAAUCACUUGUCUUUUAAAUGGAGACCUGUAUGAAUGGCUAGACGAGGGCUUAACUGUCUCCUUUUUCCAGUCAAUGAAAUUGAUCUUCCCGUGCAGAAGCGGGAAUAACACCAUAAGACGAGAAGACCCUGUGGAGCUUUAGACACUAAGUCAGCCCUUGUCCAAAGCCCCCAUUAAAGGGCUGAACAUAUAGAGUGAGACCUGAUCUGAUGUCUUCGGUUGGGGCGACCUCGGGGAAAGAAAAAACCCCCGCGCGGAACGGAAGUACUUCUUCUAAAACUAAGAGCCUCCGCUCAAAGUACCAGAAAUUUUGACCAACAAUAUGAUCCAGCUUAACGCCGAUCAACGGACUAAGUUACCCCAGGGAUAACAGCGCAAUCCUCUUUUAGAGCCCAUAUCGACAAGAGGGUUUACGACCUCGAUGUUGGAUCAGGACAUCCUAAUGGUGCAGCCGCUAUUAAGGGUUCGUUUGUUCAACGAUUAAAGUCCU